UCACGACACUGCCUCCCAAUCCUAUCUCCGCCUCCAGCACGCCGCCGCCUCCUGCCACGACCCCGCCGCCGCGCGGCGCUAGCCCAACCCCCGCCGCCACUCCCCCACCCCCACCCCCACCCCGCCACCCGGUCGAUUUUUCCUUGAACGCGAGCGUGAGCUCGUGGGCGCCGCUGCAUCUGCUCCGACGGAAGGAGCCGGAGAUGGCGCUGCUGGAGGCCGUGAUUGGGGGAAAACGGCGGGGAGUAUGACGAGGUCGGGGAGGAGAUGUUCGAAGGAUGGACGCGGGAGUCAAGCCGCCACAAACGACGAGUCAAGCCGCACGGGCACGCGACCACCGUGUCUCCCGUCAAUCCUGUCGCCCAUGAGAGGGACUAAUGCGACCACGAGUUCAUGUCCAUGUGCUGGCGGUGGAGGAGGCGGAGGACGGCUCAACUCGAGGUGGCACAUCCUUGCGUCGGGGUCGUCGACGGGGAUCAAUUGACCACCGGCAUGCAGCGGCUCAGGUCCGGACUGCUGCGCGGCCAUGGGGCCAUGGCCAGGCGGAUCCACAACGCCCGUGUCAACGAGAGCGUCGUCCUAGACAUCUACUCCUUCAACACGCUGAUCCGGGGCUGCGGGCAGGUGAUCUGGAGCGUGCACGGAAGGUGUUCGAUGGUCCGUUCUUUGGGCAGUUAUGAAGAAAAGUGUGGAUUAUGCUAUUCUCUGUUCCGAUUCUUGCACCUGUUGGUUUUUUACUUUCAGAGCUCUGGAAAAUAUGAGAUGGUAUGUGUCUUCUUUUCUGGUACAAGUACUUUAAACUGGCACCGUAUCAUUGUUACAAUGAACAAAGGUUGUAUUUUUUUACAUUGAUUGGUACGCAAAUAGUUGUCUUAGCUGAUCACGUGCUGCGUAUGUAUGCUUUCACUUAACCUUGCUCAUGUCUGUCUGUUAUUCUUUCCUAGCUGUAUCUGAUUAUGGUUUGCUGCUUGCCCCUAUGCUGUGCUACAGAACUUACCUAACAUGCAGAAACCUGGAUGCGGGAAGGGCUCUGCGGUAGAUCAAUCAAGGGAACAGACUAUUGGAGCAGUGAAAAAGAAAAUGAAGGAACAGAUGGAUGAUUUUCAGUAAUGAGAGAAUCAAUCGGGCAGGAGUACCAGGAAGUCGUUGAAAGAAGGGUAUUCACUGUAACUGGUAAUCGCCUUGAUGAAGAGGUAUAGAGGCAACAUUUUUUCUUCUAUGGUUAAAUUUGUGCUUUUUUUCUUUCUAUUGUUUAUCUUUCUUAUAGUGUGCCUCCUUUAUAACUUUGGAACCUGGAGACAAUUGAUGGUUUAACCGAGACAUGAAGAAUCAUGCUGAUGAAAAAAUUAACUACACAUUUGAGGCUUUUUUUGUUAACAAAAAAUAAUAUUAUGUGCAAACAAUCAAAACAUCUUUCCAAAAAAAUAUAAGCAGGUGCAAACAAUCAAAACAUGUAUGCUCGUAUUUCUAAAUAAAAUAAAACUAACUACACAUUUAAGUUUUUGUUUUGUUUUUCCUACAAACAUAGUCAUAUUUCAGGUACAAUGACCAAGGAAGAUCAUAUAAAAAAUAAAACUUCAUUUUAGAAAAUUAAAUAAACUAACAAUGAGAUUUUGAAUAUUCCUAAGAAAAAAAUGAAUAUAGGGUCUCACCUAAAAGAAAUAUUAGCCUGUUAGAUUUCAUCAAUUUAAUUUAAAAUUGUUACAGUAGGAUAAUGUUUUAAAAUUUAAAAUUUUGUUAUUAAUGUCAUGAAAUGAGAUUUGGCAUAGUAAAAAUCUCUUAUUCUAUGCAGGAAGGGUACAAUUCAAGCUAGAAAAUCCACACUAGCAGUAGAUACUCUGUAGCUAUCAAUCCAUGUACAAAACAAUGCGUGCCUUUGUAACUUUUUUUUGGCACUAUUAAACUUGAACAGGGAAAUUAAGCUUUAUUAAUAUUUCAUAUUCACGGUUUAUGCUAUUAGUGCUUCUCCGCUGUGUUCAAAUGGUGGGCGUGUACCUGUGUGGGGACUUGAACCAUGUUUUUAAGAUUGAGGCAUUUUUUUUCUCCCGUUGCAACGCAUGGAUUGACUUUGUCGGGUUCACCGUCACAAUACGUUUCUUCCCGUGAAUUUACGUUUUCACUUUGAAUUUAAAACAUAUACACGGGGUGAUACUAAUUCGGGGAACCACGUCAUGUGCAAAACACGCAAACAUGAAAUCUGACAAACGAUGCGUUGCCGCACCAGACUCGGCCUCCUUCCUAUUCUUUCGUCGAUCUCCCUCGACUUGGUCUUCGUACGUCGAGAUCGAGAGAGGCUCUUACCUGGGAGGCUGGGAGAGAGCAGUCAGGCAGCGGCGAUGACUCGAAGCACAGUCCGACGGUGGCGGCUAGCGCGACGCCCGCAGCCACCUCACACUCCCUCGAUCUUCAUCCUAUUAGCUUUCGCCACCGUCACGCCGGUCCAGGCCCUGCCUCUGCCCGAGGCCAUGCUAGGGCGCCGCCACCCACCUCAUCCCCUUUGCACACCCAAUCUCUCUUUCAGAUUCAGACCCAGGCUGCUCAUCGGUGUCGAUCCCCAGCCGAAGCAUGAACAUCGAUCCAGGCAGGCCUCCUCUACGAAUUCAGCCACUGGGGCAUGGCUCCCCUGCGGUUUGAAUCUGGGCGCUCGUCAACAGAGCAGCCAGAGAGGUGAGCUCUGGCUUUGGAUGCGUGGAGGGUAGGGGCCAGAGCCACCACGGCAGCCACGAGAGUGACAUGGACCUGCCAUGCUCGUCAACGACUUCCUCGAGAGCGGCGAUGGAGGUGGAAACUCGUGCAACAGCAGCGACGGCGAGCCCGACGGUCUCGACCUCACCCACGCAUUGCUGUUGCAGGCUUCCACCGUCUGCUAUGCUGGCAUGACUUGUGUGUUUGGUUCGCAACCAUGGCUUACCCCCACAUCGUGUUCGUCUGCUAGGCAUGUUGGUUAGGUAGCUGGCUCUGCUUCAGAAUCUCUGAUCAGUACAGGUUGGAGGAACAUCUCUGCAAUCACAUGUAUAGCAGUCGCUUACCAGUAUAUAUUUUUGGUAGCAGCUACUUUCGAGUAAAUUGUUGGUAUAUAGUAAGUACAGUGCUGCUAGCCCGUUCUGCUCAGAAUUUACUCCCUAGAACCACAGUGCAUGAUAACAUGAACAAAAAUAUUGAUAUAUAUGGCAUGUUGAUUUUACUCCAUGACCACAGGAGAGAACGACAAAAAUAGAUGUACAAGCAAGCAGAAAACAAGAAGGAAAUUGAGUUGCUUUCCAUGGUUCACUCACCAUUGUUCUCAAUUCAUAAGACAGAGCUUCAGGCUUGGUUCAAAAUCACAUCCAUGCUUAGUUUCUUACCAUCUACUUAUUGCUUGGUUAUUUAUCUGUCUAUUUUAUUGUUAUACUAGCAGACAUUCUCACAAAUCUUGCCCAAUGUUUUGACAUUUCCAGUACCUUUUCAUUGGCUAUUUCUUUGAAGCUUGAAUUACAAAAAGGAUAAAGGAGAAAUAUUGUGUACCAUGGUAUGAUAUAAUAUACCAGUUCCAUGAUAUGUGGUAAAUUUCCAUGGAAAUUGCCUAGAGUUUCUCAUCUGGCAGAGAGUGGGAGCACAAAAUCGUUUGGAGAUUUAUGAUGAAAAAUAUAUGUGCAAGGAUAUGAAUUAUCCAAGCUCAGGCCACUGCUGGACAAGGUACUCACCUACUUUGAAGCAUGCAUCUGGCAAGGUGUUCAUUGGUGUGGAACUCUGGCAUCCGGCAAGGUGUUCAUUGGGGCAGGGAUCGAUGGAGAUGAAGUUGUGCAUGACGAAGUCCCUGAAGUGGCCCCUAGAUACUGCUGAAUGACCGGGUCACAGGCGGCAUCCAUCCAAUCUCGCCGUUCCGCCGACUUAGCAGGAACACUAUCCGCUCGUGCUCCACCCUUCACCGGAACUCCGUCUGACCAUGUUUCGCCUGAGAAGCGACAAUAAAACUUCUCUUGAGAAUCUAGCACAUAAGGCAAUUGUAUGCCGGGUUUUAGACAUAGACAAUGCAGCUGGGAAUAUCAAUCGUAUGUUGGGUUUCAGACAUAGGCAAUGCAGCUACCUAGAAUUGACUUGAAGUUGUUUCUUUGGCUGAGGUAGGAUGUAGGAAACAUGCAGCUUGAACCAGAGCAGAAGAAUGUACUGCAAUUUGGUUGCAUCUUUAGUAUAUGUCUAGAGGUAUAAUGUAUAUGUAGUAGGUGCGGUUCUGUUGUUUCUUUUAUUUUCUUUUACAUAGUCUAUUGACUGGUAGCAGGAUGAGAGGGAAGUUAGCAAGUCACCAGCUUUGAAAAGAAUAAUUUUUUCUUCAGUAUUUAAGCAAUUACUUACUUUUGAAGAGGUCCA